AAUAAUUAAUUCAUAAUGCAAGUUUUUCUCCAAGUGUAUUCUACUUGUAUUUAUUCACUGACGAAAACCAGAGAAAACUUCUGAAAAGCUGCGUGCAGGCAAUGCCAACUGCUUUGAGGCGAAUCUCACUUAUUUAUAGUUCUUAGCACAGGCGGCAAUGGACAAAAUGAAACUAACCGAAAAUGAUUGCGGGGGCCUGAAUUGGCAGCGCCUGCUUCAUUGUCAUGGUCAUGGGCUCACGCACUUGUAGCUACUUUUUAGCCAUAGAUACAAGUUGAAGCUGACGAAUUGCCUGACAUGCGUUGCUAAUUUGUCUGGCGCGAAUGUCUCGCCGCUUGUAUUCACUAUGAGUAAUAGGGUAGUGUCUAUACAUAUAAAUAUCUAUGGAGGGGGUGUGGUGGGUGUGGUUGAUUCGCUUUAUAACCCCAGCGGGCUGGGUUGUUGGCUCUGAUGGAGGCGUUUGAACUUUUAACGGUUUCGCAUUUUCAUUUCGUUGUUUGCGUCUAAAGUUCAUUGUUAAAUUACUUUCCCAGCUGCGAUUGCCUGUAUGUGUGUGUGUGUGUGUGUGUAAGUGUGUGUCUUAGUGUAACUUUGCUUUGUUUGUUGUUGCAUAUGCUAGAUGUGAUUUCAGUUGCUUUAUUAUGUUUGUGUUAGUUUUUAUAGUCGCCGACUCAGUACAGUUUUGCCAACAAAGCUACGAAAAAUCGAUUUGUCAUGCGAUUCAGCAUGCCCUUAGAACAAAAUGAAAGCAGCUCA